GAUAUUUUCUUCCCUAGCAUCCCACGUACCCCACCCCUAAAGUCAAUUUGGCUUAUCUUUAUUUUGCUGCAUCUGAAGUCCAGCAACUCACUUUCCUCUUUCUCUACUCCUUUCUCCCCUUUCUUUGUUCUUCUUUCCUCUUCCCUUCUUACACAGCAACAUCUCUCUCUUCCUUUCUCACCAAAAAUUUUAGUUUCUUUAAAGAAGAAAUUAAACAAUUAGCCUUAAGGUUUCAUCUUCAAAGUGUGUGGGUGUUACCAGUAUCCAAGUCUAAGCUCCUUCGAC